ensembl:snRNA U6 U6 spliceosomal RNA
GUGGUCAGCCUCACUCCUGGAGCACAUAAAACAACACUGGAAUAUUACAAAGAAGACUGGCAUAGCCCCUGUGCAAAGAUGACUCACAAAUUUGUAAAGUUGCCAUAUUUUU